rnacentral:rRNA from 1 species
CAACCCCUGUUCUGCGUUAUACUUUCGCAGAAGACUGCCUCCGCAAGGAGGAGGAAGGUGGGGAUGACGUCAAAUCAGCAUGGCCCUUACGUCCAGGGCUACACACGUGCUACAAUGGCCGGUACAAUGGGUUGCCAAACCGCAAGGUGGAGCUAAUCCCAGAAAACCGGUCUCAGUUCGGAUAGAGGGCUGCAAUUCGCCCUCUUGAAGCCGGAAUCGCUAGUAACGACCGAUCAGCCACGCGGUCGUGAAUACGUUCUCGGGUCUUGUACUCACCGCCCGUCACGUCAAGGGAGUCGGGAAUACCCGAACGUCGCCGUAGGGCGACGGAAGGUAGAAUCGAUAACAGGGACGAAGUCGUAACAAGGCACCCGUAGCGGAAGCUGUGGGUGGAUCACCUCCUUU